CAAAACCUCGCUGAGCAAAAGUAAGAACGACUUUACAACUCCUACUCCAUUUCUUGCAAAGCAUGAGUAUAUAGCAGCAUUGUCUUCGUUUUUUCCUAAUUGGGCCCGCUCAUACGCAAUCGCUUUCGUUUCGUACCUUUCUUUAACCUCUAUCGUGAAACCAACCACAACCAAAACCAUCGUGUGCAAGCUAGGCUCAUGGAAACGGCGCCGUCGUCGUCUACGAAUCCGCCACAGGAACCGCGGCAACCACUCGAAGACCGUGUAUUCAAAACCAAGACUGUUCAGUUUCUAGGUCGCCGCACACCGAUCGUCCUCCAAGAACACAAUGGCCCCUGCGGUCUCAUCGCUAUCUGUAAUGUUCUACUGCUAAGAAACGAGAUCCAUUUGAGUCUAGGUACUUCUGAAGUCUCCCAGAAGACAUUGCUCUCAUUAGUUGCUGGUCGAUUGAUUGACUCAAAUUCAAAUCGUGAUGAUGAUGUAAAUCAACAACAGAACCUUGCGGGUGCAUUUGAUGUGCUCAAUAAGCUUGCGACUGGCAUUGAUGUAAAUGUAAAGUUUAACAGAAUAGAUGAUUUUGAACGCACUCAAGAGUGUGCCAUAUUUGAUCUGCUGGGCAUUCCUUUGUAUCAUGGCUGGAUAGUUGACCCCAAGGAUUAUGAUACUGCUAAUGCAAUUGGAUCAAAGUCCUACAAUGAUCUUACUGUAGAGAUUGUUACAAAAAACAUUGAAAUCCAUUAUAAGAAUAAUCUGGAAGAAGAUUGUGUUGAUUAUGAUUCUACUAUGGAAGAAGAUUGUGUUGAUUCUGAUUCUACUAUGGAAGAAGAUUGUGUUGAUAUUGGUUCUUCUCAUUCUGUUUCUGACCAAUUGGGAAGAAGAGGUGAAGAGGCAGAGGUUUUGAGAGCCUUGAAACUGUCUGAGGCUUAUUUUAAAGCUUCAAUAAGUGAUCCUGUUGUAGGUCAUGUAAAUGGUGAUGGAGGAACAGUUUCUGUCAGUGUGGAUGAAGAUAUGUGUAACAAGCUGGUUAAAACUGUGGAUUCUGACCAAUUGCGAAGAAGAGGUGAUAUUGAAGAAGCGGCAGAGGUUUUGAGAGCCUUUAAACUGUCUGAGGCUUAUUUUAAAGCUUCAAUAAGUGAUCCUGUUGUAGGUCAUGUAAAUGGUGAUGGAGGAACAGUUUCUGUCAGUGUGGAUGAAGAUAUGGGUAACAAGCUGGUUAAAACUGUGGAUUCUGCAGAUAAGUUAGGAAAGAGCGCACGUGCUGAGAAUAAUGAUUUUCAUGAGUCAGGGUCGUCCAUAUCUGAUGAUUGCGCUGCUUCUGGUAAAGACUGUAAUGAACAUGCAUCUUCUGCAUCUACAGCUGCCCCCGAUCUAAAAGCUAAGGAUGGAAUAACACCAAAACAAGGGGAAUUGAUCACGAGUUUCUUGAUUAAAAAUGCCAGCCAGUUGACUUCUAUUGGACUUUCCUCUUUACAAGAUGGUCUUAAAGAGCAUGAGCUAUGUGUUUUUUUCCGAAACAAUCAUUUUAGUACUAUGUUUAAGUUUGAAGGUGAUCUUUAUCUUCUAGUUACUGAUCAAGGUUAUAUAAAUGAGCCUAAUCUUGUUUGGGAAAAACUGAAUGAGGUCAAUGGUGACUCAUGGUUUAUGACCAGUAGUUUCAAGGAAUUCAAGGUAGAAAGCCAUGAAAAUAACAACUGGGAUGAGAACAAUGCCAUUACCAGUACUGCUGACUAUCUUGCCAGCUUAGACGGUGCAAUACAGGAAAACUUAGAUAUCAAUGCUGCUCUGCAAUUUGAAAUAAACUUUCCACAACAGGAGUCUGAGAAGCAGCCUCCACGGCAUAAUUUUCAGCAACCUGUUAACGGUACCUCCAAACUGGUCACAGGUCUUCAGGUAAACAUGGACCUAGACGGCGUUGAUGAUCCUAUGGAUACGGCUGGAAACGGCGUCACACGAGAAAUCGAUGUCUUCUUCAAAAGUGCAGACCCGAACACAAAGUUGUAUGUUUUGCAGUAUCCUUUGAGGCCUUUUCAGAAGCCGUACGAGUUAGAUGAACGAUGCCAAAAGGUCAGGUUGAAUCUUGAUAGUUCAGAAGUGGAGUUUGAUUUGGAGGCACUUGAUAUUGAAAAGCAGACUUUAUACACCCUCUCGACGCCACCUCCUGAGAGUCGAUUUGCUGUUGGGAUUCUUAUUGGUGAUAAGCUACACCUGCAUCCUAUUCAUGCCAUUGUGCAGCUCCGACAUGUUGAGGGGUCACGUGUAGUAAAGUCUGCUGCCACAUCAAAGAAGAAGCAGAAGCAGCACUGGGUUCCUCUCAAGUAUCACGGCUGCAACAGUGAUAUCUCCUCUGGAUUUUUGCAGGAAAUGAUGGCUCAAUCAUCCGAAACUCCCAUAAACUUUACAAUGAGCGGGCAUGAUUACGUCACUGCACUCUGUGGUGGAGUAAUACCCAAGGGUACUGCCAAAAGGUUUCUUCUAUCAUUGCCAUUGGAGGAACGUCUUAAGAAAUUGCUUAUUCAGGGUCCCCCACUUCGUCGUUUCAAUACUAUCAAGCACUUUGCUCCUGAAUGGUCUGAUUUGGAACUGCUGGAACAUCUGCAGUCAACUGCAGUAUUGCUGUGGGGACAUUGGGCCCCAAGAAGUCAAUUACUAUUUGCUGAAUCUCCUUCUGGACAUUUGGCCAGGGAUUAUGUCAUAUCACUGUUUAGCGAUAAAUUGAAAGUUUUCUCAUCUGAUGUGAAUGUGGAUUUUGAGAGCGAACUUGGUAAGAAUGUGGGAAAAUUCUUGAAGAUAUUUGGUCUGGAAAGAUGUGAUCUUAACAAAACUACGUCUGAACCAUUGCCUUACUGGAUGUUCAAAGAGCUUCCUGAUUAUUCAUUUAUAGAAUCCCACUCAGAUGUUGUUCAAAUGCAACAAGUUAAGCUCAGGGAUUUGAAAGAUCACGUAUCUAGGAAAGUGGCAGACUACAUCCCUAAAUCUGCAAAUUCUGGUCCACAGGUAGCAAGUCUGGAUGGAGUUCCUCCUAGGAAUAUGACCAUGUCAAAAGAAACCCAAAGUGCUCUGCGAUUUGCUCUCGGGAUUGUUUUUAAGACUCGCAAAGUUUGCAGGUUUGAAUCUGUAUGCAACGAAUUGCGAAAAAUGGUGGAUUCCAAGGAUUCCAAUAUGCCCCACUCAUAUUAUAAGGUUGUGGAAGCAGCUGCCAGUCUUGAUUGUCCAGAGCAUGAGCUGAAGGCUGUCAUGAGUGAAGAUUUAUGGUUGAUCAAUGAUUACUGUGUGUUAAAAUCAAAUGUUUUUCCAUUCAGAGAUCUGGUAAUCGAAAUGUUUCGACAAAAAGGACUCGAUGCCAGCCUGAAGAAGGCAGAGUUAGGUGAAGCUGAAAAAUGGAUUUCUAGGACUGAAUAUUACAAGGUAAGUUCUCUUCUAAUUUUAACAACUAAAUUUGUUAUUUUAUUAUUAUAAAGAAACCAUUAGCAGAGUUGGGACACCCACAACCAAGGCUAUCUGAAUGUUCCUUAUUAUAAGCAAUCAUCUUAUACAGCUGAGCUGAGAGUAAGUGUCCAAUAUGUUAUAACUUAUAAACUAGAAUAAUACAUUAAAUAACUAAACAAUCUAGAGUCCAAACUCUUUUAUCAUCAAUGCUCCUAUGUCUGUCUUCAUUCUUUUUGGGGACAAGCAAGAUUUCACUUGAUGGUAAACAUCCUUUAAUUGAAGUACUUUCUUUUAUCUGGGCUACGCUCACAUGUUGAUUUCAUAAGACGACGUUGUAAGCAAAUCCAGUUGCAAUUAUGCAAUCUUUCGUGUGUUGUACACUUGUACUGGGUUUUUCAGUGCUUCUAAAUUUAUGAUAAUGGAUUUAUUACUUAAUAAUACAUUGCAGAUUUUCUGUUUGAGAUGUUGAGCUUUUUGUUUCUGGAGAUGUAAUUUAUUAUUUGAGCUCUUGGUAGUUUUAAACUACGCUCUGACUUCUCAUUGGAUGUUUUGUUUAUCAAAUUCUUCAUUAAGUUAAUAUAAAGUCAUACUUGUGUGCUGAGCAUCUGGUCAAUCAAUUCUUAGCACAGCCUGUUAAUCAAGUUUCCUUUUCAACUCCUAUGUGCUUGAUUAUCAGGUUAUAGGGCUAUUGAUCCAACAUUAAUAGUAAAAAAUGCUACUGACAUGUAUAAAGCCUGCAUUUUUAUUAUACUAGAUAUGCAUGCAUCCUAAGAAAAAAAGUGAGAUAUGCUUCUAUAGUUCGCUUUUGCUGGUAGUGAAUACUAGGAUUAGAGAGUGGAUGAUUUUUUUUAUUGUUAUUUACUUCUUCGGCAACAAGCUACAAGGCUUUCUGCACUAGUUGCUGCACGGGCAUGGCUUUGAUCAAUUGCUGAUAUAAAAAGUAGAGUAAUGCACGAGUUAUGUGUCUUUAAAGGUAAAAGUUCUGGGUGGGUCUUGAAAUCUCCCCUGCCGAUGCUCUAAUCCUUGAUUACAGUCAUUUUGAAUUGUUAGAUAACUAUUGUUUGUACUCGCCUGCGUUGGAUUUGGCUCGUGUUUGAGAAACAAAUCAAUACUCUGCUUUGGGAAAUAUUUCAUAUAUUCCACACAAUCUUGAUAUUUCAUUUCUUA